GACGUAGGGCGCAAGCGUUGUCCGGAUUUAUUGGGCGUAAAGAGCUCGUAGGCGGUUUGUCGCGUCUGCUGUGAAAACUCGGGGCUUAACCCCGGGCCUGCAGUGGGUACGGGCAGACUAGAGUGCGGUAGGGGAGACUGGAAUUCCUGGUGUAGCGGUGAAAUGCGCAGAUAUCAGGAGGAACACCGGUGGCGAAGGCGGGUCUCUGGGCCGUAACUGACGCUGAGGAGCGAAAGCGUGGGGAGCGAACAGG
rnacentral:rRNA from 1 species